rnacentral:rRNA from 1 species
GGCGGCAUGCCUAACACAUGCAAGUCGAACGAGACCUUCGGGUCUAGUGGCGCACGGGUGCGUAACGCGUGGGAAUCUGCCCUCUGGUACGGAAUAACUCAGGGAAACUUGAGCUAAUACCGUAUAAUGACUUCGGUCCAAAGAUUUAUCGCCUGAGGAUGAGCCCGCGUAGGAUUAGCUUGUUGGUGAGGUAAAAGCUCACCAAGGCGACGAUCCUUAGCUGGUCUGAGAGGAUGAUCAGCCACACUGGGACUGAGACACGGCCCAGACUCCUACGGGAGGCAGCAGUGGGGAAUAUUGGACAAUGGGCGAAAGCCUGAUCCAGCAAUGCCGCGUGAGUGAUGAAGGCCUUAGGGUUGUAAAGCUCUUUUACCCGGGAUGAUAAUGACAGUACCGGGAGAAUAAGCCCCGGCUAACUCCGUGCCAGCAGCCGCGGUAAUACGGAGGGGGCUAGCGUUGUUCCGGAAUUACUGGGCGUAAAGCGCACGU